rnacentral:tRNA from 1 species
GUCUCCGUAGCUUAACAAUCAAAGCAUGGCACUGAAGAUGCCAAGAUGGCCGCCACAUGUACCCGAAGACA